UGAAUUUUAUUUUAUUAUUUUUAUUUUAUUUAGUUUUUUUCUAUUUUUCAUUUUCUACUUUUUAUUUUAUUUUAUUUAUUUUAAUUUUUUCCUAUUUUGUUUUUUCUCCUUUUUUGGAUUAUUCCUACAAUUAUGAACGGUUUGCUAUUUCCCUCUUUAUCAUUUUCAUAGUCGGCAAGUGAUGAGGGAGAUCGUGAAAAAACACACAUAUAAAUACAUAUGUAUGUGUACAUGAAACUUCUAACUAAAAAAAACUGUGUUUAGGUGUUUUUUUUUUGGCGUUCGGGAUCGAAGAGCUCUUACGGAUUACCAAUUGAAAACGACAUAAAUGAAUACCGUUUAUUUUAUUUUUUACCAUCUUAAUUCUGAUAUUGCAGUAGUGAGUGACAACUGCAAACAAUAAUCGGCCUGAAUUAACACCAAUCCAUCUUCCGCUUCCAAUCCAUUCCCACUUUGAGGAUACAAAAAAAAAUUUUUAAAGCCAUUCAAGUAAACUAUCAUCUCGUAAGUCGUAACUAAUGUGAUGAAAGAAGUAAAGUACAUCAGGAGAUAAAUACAAGAGCUGAAAAAAAAAAUGAAACUAUACAACUACCUUAUUUAGAUUUUUCUUGUACCUUCAACAAUCGAUAUUUUAAAAAAUUUCGAAACCCAAAUUCGAGAAAAGGAUGAAAUGUCAAAAGCAUUGGUAAUAAUUAAUUAUACCAUUUAUAUACAGUUUUAUAUAUUCUUUUUUGCAGCUUCCUCAACAAAAUGCCAGACCAAACGUUAGAAAAAUUUCUAAGGUCUAGCCUAAAAGAAGUAAAGUACAUCAGGAGAGAAAUACAAGAGCUGAAAACCAAAAAUGAAGCUAUACAACUUCCUUAUUUAGAUUUUCCUUGUACCUACAACAAUCGAUGUUUUAAAAAAUUUCGAAACCCAAAUUCGAGAAAAUGAUGAAAUGUCAAAAGCAUUGCCUGCUCAACAAAAUGCCAGACCAAACGUUAGAAAAAUUUCUAAGGUCUAGCCUAAAAGCUAUUUGUAUCGAAAAAGUUGCGGCCAAAUAUUCCUUCCACGGUAAAACCAAAACGUAAAGUGGAACUUUACGGGUGCAUUGCCAUUGUUGAAGGAAUGCGCAAGAAAAAAAUUUCCGUACACCUGGGGGUCUGACAUUCAAGGAUUCAAGCGAAUAUUUUCAAAUGGUUUCACUAUUCUUAAGAUAGAAUUAGAAAAAAAGGGAAACCAGUAUAAGAAACUUUCGAUUUUAUAGUUUAUUGACUAUAUUUUUCCAAAAUGUAUAAUAACCAUUCCAUACAAGAGGGUAGUAUCCCAAGUAGGGCUGCCAGAUAAAAUUUUAUUAACAACAGACUUCAAAAGUCGGGACAAAUCGGGACAGCAAAAAAAUACAUGAAAUUGAAAAUAAAAUAUAAUAAAAAGAAUUACGAAGGUGAUUACAUGCUUUUCCAUGCACGACUUACCUACUUCUAAAUUUUUGUGGACCUCUUGCAAAAGUAUGAGUUAGUCAAAAUUC